GUCCAGUCAAAUCACUAUAAGUACAUGGUCCUGAUCAAAGUAAUUGCAAUAGAUUUGUUUUCAGUGGUAAAGUGUGAGAAAAGUUGUUCUGAAAAAAAAAAUCCCUUCGGUGGAACAUGGUGAAAAUCGAGUUUUUCUUACUUCUACCUAUAGAAAACCAUUGUGGACAGAAUGUUGAAAUUUUGAAAUCAUUUUUAGGCAAAUGUAACCUACAUUAUUGGAAAGCUUAGAAAAAACUAAAAUAUAGAUCAUUAAACGGUUACCUUGCUUUUGCCUAUCCAGCCGAAGUUAUACAAGAUUUAAAAUGCCAUAAAUUUGUAUUUUGUGCAAAUUUUGCGCUAUUUUUCCAACUUUGAGCUAGAAUAACGACAAACUG